GAUGAAGUAAAGUCGUACCAAGUCUCGUGUGACCCAGCGGAGGGAAUCAUUACUGA
rnacentral:rRNA from 1 species